UUUCUCCUCUAGGCGUCCCCAAGAUGGCGGCUAUCCAUGAAUCCCACAGGGAAGAAAGCAGACUCCGAGUUGGCUGACACAACUGGACUGUCUUCAUUCCAGGAGCCGGGCUGGGGGCGGGCUGACCUCUAACCUCAGAGUCUGCCUGGCCACCCACCCCCAGGGAAGGAACGUGGCCAAGCCUCGAGGGCUGACCGGCUGCAGAAGAGCCUGUCUCAGCUGCUGGCCACCGGGCCCUGCCCAGCACCCCAGAAUGGAGUCUGAGAGAGUUUACAGGCUAGCUUCAAGUGCACCAAGUAGCCCAGGAUGACGCCAGACUCCUGAUCCCAACCAUGUUUCGCAACCAUGCCUGUUUUCUGCAGUGCUGAAGAUGAACCCAUCAGGGCUUUCAUGCUGCUAAGCCAACGUUCUACCCACUGCUCUACCCCCCAUUUCUCUUUUUGUGAUUAAAUUAAAUAUGUA
rnacentral:lncRNA from 14 species